rnacentral:rRNA from 1 species
GGCUUAUUGAGUGAUAAUUUUAAGUCAAUUCUGCCCAAUGAUUAAAAAAAUUUAAUGGCUGCAGUAUAAUUGACUGUACAAAGGUAGCAUAAUCAAUUGUUUUUUAAUUAAGAACUGGAAUGAAAGAGUUAAUGAGAUAUAUUCUGUCUCAUAUAUAUUUAAUUAAUUUAAAUUUUUAGUUAAAAUGCUAAAAUUGAUUUAUGGGACGAUAAGACCCUAUAGAAUUUAAUAUUAAUAUAUUGAUUAUAAUUUAAUUAUUAAAUAUUAAUAUUUUGUUGGGAGGAUAGAUAAAUUUAUAAAACUUUAUUUUAAAUAUUAACUUUAAUUAAAGAAUAAAUAUUUUUGAUCUUAUAAUAAAAAUUAAAAGAAUAAAUUACCUUAGGGAUAACAGCGUAAUAUCUUUUUAAAGAUCAUAUUGAGAAAGAUGAUUGCGACCUCGAUGUUGAAUUAAGAUAAAUUUUAAAUGAAGAAAUUUAAUAAUUAAGUCUGUUCGACUUUUAAAAUCUU